rnacentral:rRNA from 1 species
CCUACGGGAGGCUGCAGUGGGGAAUAUUGGACAAUGGGGGGAACCCUGAUCCAGCCAUGCCGCGUGUGUGAAGAAGGCCCUCGGGUUGUAAAGCACUUUCAGUGAGGAAGAACACCUGGUGGUUAAUACCCAUCAGGAAAGACAUCACUCACAGAAGAAGCACCGGCUAACUCCGUGCCAGCAGCCGCGGUAAUACGGAGGGUGCGAGCGUUAAUCGGAAUUACUGGGCGUAAAGCGCGCGUAGGUGGCUUGAUAAGCCGGUUGUGAAAGCCCCGGGCUCAACCUGGGAACGGCAUCCGGAACUGUCAAGCUAGAGUGCAGGAGAGGAAGGUAGAAUUCCCGGUGUAGCGGUGAAAUGCGUAGAGAUCGGGAGGAAUACCAGUGGCGAAGGCGGCCUUCUGGACUGACACUGACACUGAGGUGCGAAAGCGUGGGUAGCAAACAGGAUUAGAUACCCCAGUAGUC